CUUGGUCAUUUAGAGGAAGUAAAAGUCGUAACAAGGUUUCCGUAGGUGAACCUGCGGAAGGAUCAUUAUCGAGUCUUUGAAAGGGGAUUUUGAUGCUGGCUGCUCCGGCGGCAUGUGCUCGGUCCUCUGCUCAAUCCACUCAACCACUGUGCACUAAUUCGAAGCUUCGCGGUCCUCCCGAACCUGGUUCGGGAGCAGCUCCCCCUUUCGCGAGGGGUUGAGUCGGGGCCUGCGGGGUUUCGAGCCUUCAUACAAACCACUUCUUGUCAUGUAGAAUGUUAUUAUAUUGAAAAAUACAACUUUCAACAACGGAUCUCUUGGCUCUCGCAUCGAUGAAGAACGCAGCGAAAUGCGAUAAGUAAUGUGAAUUGCAGAAUUCAGUGAAUCAUCGAAUCUUUGAACGCACCUUGCGCUCCUUGGUAUUCCGAGGUGCAUGCCUGUUUGAGUGUCAUGUAAUCAUCAACCUCCCUUCGCUUUUGCGUUCGGGAUGGCUUGGAAUUGGAGGUUUCUUGUCGGCUCUCGCGAGUCGGCUCCUCUUGAAGACAUUAGUCGGACUCGGUCGCUCCGUCGCGGUACGCGGUGUGAUAACUUAUUCACCCAUUGGUAAACCCGCCUCUUGCGUCCGGCUGGCUUCUAACUCGCGCUUCGGCGCACCUUUGACAAUCUGACCUCAAAUCAGGUAGGACUACCCGCUGAACUUAAGCAUAUCAAUAAGCGGAGGA
rnacentral:rRNA from 1 species